AGCUUGAAAAUUUCCAAAUUAUUGCAGCGGUCUUCAUUAUUUUGUGGACUGAACAUGUACUUGAAUUUAUGAGAAGCUGGCUUCAGUUUUCAAGCAGGACAACAGUGUUGUGAUUGCCAAUCUUGAUGCUGACAAGCACACUGACUUGGCUGAAAAAUAUGGUGUUUCUGGUUUCCCUACAUUGAAGUUCUUCCCUAAGGGAAACAAAGCCGGUGAAGAUUAUGAUGGUGGCCGGGACUUGGAUGACUUUGUCAAGUUCAUUAAUGAGAAGUGUGGCACCAGUCGGGAUCCAAAGGGCCACCUGACUUCAG